AUCUGCCAAGGCUAAAUACUCCCUGGCGACCGAUAGUGAAGCAGUACCGUGAGGGAAAGGUGAAAAGCACCCCGGAAGGGGAGUGAAAUAGAUCCUGAAACCGUGUGCUUACAAGAAGUCAGAGCCCUAUGAUAUUUUCCUUUGGAAAAAUCACGGGUGAUGGCGUGCCUUUUGUAGAAUGAACCGGCGAGUUACGUUCCCGUGCAAGGUUAAGGUGAAGAGCUGAAGCCGCAGCGAAAGCGAGUCUGAAUAGGGCGAAUGAGUACGUGGACGUAGACCCGAAACCGGGUGAUCUACCCCUGUCCAGGGUGAAGGUGCGGUAACACGCACUGGAGGCCCGAACCCACGCAUGUUGAAAAAUGCGGGGAUGAGGUGGGGGUAGCGGAGAAAUUCCAAUC
rnacentral:rRNA from 1 species